rnacentral:rRNA from 1 species
CAGCAGUCGCCGCGGGAAUACGAAGGGGGCUAGCGUUGUUCGGAAUUACUGGGCGUAAAGCGCACGUAGGCGGAUCGAUCAGUCAGGGGUGAAAUCCCAGGGCUCAACCCUGGAACUGCCUUUGAUACUGUCGAUCUGGAGUAUGGAAGAGGUGAGUGGAAUUCCGAGUGUAGAGGUGAAAUUCGUAGAUAUUCGGAGGAACACCAGUGGCGAAGGCGGCUCACUGGUCCAUUACUGACGCUGAGGUGCGAAAGCGUGGGGAGCAAACAGGAUUAGAUACCCCCGUAGUCCCUGUCUCUUAUAC